UUUCUGUACUGUAUGCGACUGGAGCGACGAUUGGGAGUGUGAGAAAGAAAUGAGGCUGACUCAGCAGAAAGGGGCCACUAUGAGAAACAGAAGCUGACUGUGUACCUGCGGAAGUAUUAAUGCCAUGAACAUUAGAGCUGACCUCCGACCUGUCCUCACUCAUAAAACUCAGACUCAGAAUAUAAGCAUGCAGAAACAGCUAGAGGGGUGGAUGUAUCCGUGGUUGUAGGUCAAUGAAGUGUGAUACCAGUAAAAUGAUGGGCCCCAAUAGAAUCACCCGUAUGUACGGCUUGUUUUGUGCAUCUGAGAAAAGCUCCUUCAUUUAGUCCGUGAUCACAUCAGCUCUCACAGAGCAACAGCCAAACACACAAUCCAUAUCAGCCUCAUGAAGUAUAUUAUUUCUCCAUUACGGUGGGAGCUGAGUUAUCGUUCUUUUUCAAACUGAGGGCUCCAUGGCAAUAAACUGCUGAAGAGUUUAUAGGCCGG
ensembl:lncRNA